rnacentral:lncRNA from 1 species
UUGAGUGUGGAUGUGACGUUCUGUGCUCGGACGGUACAGCUGCUAACGCGUUUUUAGCAGCACCGACACACGCGUUUCUAGAAUCCACAUUGAUGGUCGAACAUCUUUUAAGCGCCCACGACAAUAUCGAGUGCAUAUGUGAAUGUUUAAUUACCUCAUGUUUGGGUAGCGUUUGAGAAAGGAUUGAGUGAGGAAACCAAACACGUUGGCAGCAUCGCAGGAUAAGACGACAGGCCCUCCCUCAGACCAAAACCUACGCAGACUUCACGAGCCUGCGAGAACAAAAUUGAUGCCUAAAUCCCAAUCGAAAAAAUCCUAGCCGGAAGGAUCGUGCCCUAUCUGGACGCAGGAUCUGCCGGAGAAUGGGUCCUCAAGCCAGGUUUUCUGUCUCCUAAGUGCAGAAAAGUUGCAGUUUGGAUGGAAUUUCACUGCGGAAGAAGAGCGAAGAGAAUAAAAGUCGAGCCAAGUCUCUGCUGACCUCGAAUCCCUUCAAUAAUGCGACGUUCGUGGCGCUGGCGAGUCUACGUGCUGGCUUGGAUAGUGUGUGCAUACCUCACCAUCAUGGCCGCCAUCUCCCUCAUGUCGGACAAUCUCAGCGAUAAGAAUCUCGACCCCAGGUCCAUCAAUGGCAUACCUUUCCGUGGCGUGUGGGGUUGGAACGGCCCCAAUGGAGGAGGUCGGGGUGCGAGGCUGCAGUGG